CCACCUGCAGACAGACAGACAGAUCCUGAAAUGCCGGUGCUCCUUGAAAGAUAGCAUUAGCAAUGAGUGGAAGUCAGGAGGGAGAGGUCUAAAGCAAGUGUAAUGUCUCAAACCAAAAGCCUGUAGGAUCCUGAAGCCCUCAUGCUAGAGCACACAUCACUCUGCAAAGCGCAAUGACUGGAGCAGCAAGAUGUUGCGUAUUUACUGCAGGGAAUAAACUAUCGCUACAGAUGCCAUAAAAGAUUCAUAUAAGCAUGUGUAUACACUCUCAACAGUGCUUUUGACAUUAUUCAGGAAAGAACAAAAGAUGUCACUGGCUUACAUGUGAAACAUCACAUAGAAGUCAGAUGCAAUCUGAUGGAGCAAUUGCUGCUUCUAACCAGAUUAUUACUAAUUUCAUUACACCGCCUUCCCAACUCCUCUAUUCCAACUCUACCAUAGCCCUUGCAAUGAAUUCCUGGUCACAGGUUCACAGACAUCAGCCUGUACAGAGUUAGAUGCUGGAAGAGACUCCUGAACAGUAGAAAUCCCAGCUCACACAGCCCAGUCUUGUGGCUCUACUGUGCAUGGCCAGAUCCAACCACUGGUUCCCAUAGUAAUAAAACAGAUUUUUGCCACUGCUGGCUUCCUCUGUUGAAAGAGAGACACAGAAACCCCCCUUGAGCUAUUAAGGGACACGUAGUAAUUUUACUACUCUGUCACUUGUCAAGAGCUGAAGAGAAAUCACAAUUGUGAGUUGGCUUCAGGCUCCGGACUCUGCUGGCUGGAGUUGCUACCAGAGCAUUCAUGCUAAGAGCUGCAGGCUAUUUGUCACUUGAGGUAGCUGUCGAGUCAUAAAUCAUAAAAUACAACAGUUAGUGGAAGGCUGGAGGACAGCCACGUUUGGGAGUGCCCCAGAUACUGAUGGAUGACUGCAAAAAUACCAUCAGAAGGCAAAGAUGAUAAAUCACCCGUGAUGACUUCAGUUAAGGACACGGGCACUGUCCUACUGAAGUCCUAUGGCUCUGUGAAGGAGAACAUCCCUUUCCUCAACCGUCAAGGAGUAAGAUGAGCAGCAGCGUUGGCAUUUGUAAUGGCAGACUGGUGCUCCCACUACGUACGAGCCCAAGGCCUGCAGGAGACCUUUACAAUGGUGGCACUACCCCACCUGCUCAUCAUAGUAGGCCUACACUUAAGUUCUUGCUCCACAUGUGAAUCAGCUCUGCAGCUGCAUUAUGGUAUGAACCUGGGCCUAUUAUGCAUCGCCUGAGGGUAAUAGAUUAGCUUUGGCUCCAUACUGCAAUAAAAAUGCCACACAGCAUUCAUAACAGCAACUACACUGGAUCAGAUAAAGGCUGGUGUAGCCUAGCAGUCGCUUAUGGGAAGCACGUAGGAGUAAGGCACUGGAGUAGUGCUGUACUUUUCUCAGCACUCUAGCUUAGGACCACAUCCAGUCUCUGUUCAGUAAGUGUAGCUGAGUGAAGGCAUGACUGCCAUUUUGCCCAGCUCUAUCUGUUUGUUACCAGCCUGGUUUAUUACCAAGGCACUUGCCUAGGAAUUACAACAAAUGAAAGCACUCGGCGAAGUAAAAAGUCGGUAUUGCUAUGAAUAGAUUAGCAAAGAGAGAUAGUAUAACUAAGAGAUAGGCAAAUUGUGGUUUCAUUAAUGGAAACUAUAUACUUAAUGCCAAGUUUCAGACUGUGAAAUAAGGCUGUGACAUAACCUAGGCAAUUAUUCACUGAUCAAUUAGCAGCAGCAUGGGAGAUAUUAAGAGGAAUAAUGUCUCAUCUGAAAUUGCACCUUACGUUUUACAGAGGCACUUCUUAUUUAAGUCUAGCAAAAGCAUAAUGAACUUACAAACCAAACCUUCCUCUGGGUAUUUUUAGCCUCUAGACAGUAACACCAAGUGCACUUUAGAAGGUACAUCUGGGCUGUUCACAGCUCCAGUAGAAGUCCACAUGUGCAGAUGCAGUAUCAUGUAUAUAAAGUAGUUAUUUCAAAGAGCAUUUUGAAGCAUAACUCAACUAACACACCAUAUAAAAGAGGGAUGACUCAAAUUACUAUCCAAAUGUCAAUGUCUCCCCAUUUUAUAAGUGACAAAUUUGUGAAAACAGGAUUUGCUCAGGGCAAGUGCAUGUCAUAGGCAGAGGCUGAAUGCAGGUUUCCUGACUUCAAUAAAAAACUCCCUUUUAAUGAUUUUCAGGCAUGAUAACAUGAUAUCAUAAUCCCUCUACUAACAUGCGUCACUCACGUUUCAGUAGCAUUUUCCCCUUAGGAAUAUUAAACAAUAAUAAAGACUAACACUUGCUAUUAAGAAAACAAAACCAAUUCUGCAAAGGUAAUUCAAAUCCCCGGAAAGCUGUGCUUACCUGGUCCAUUUCCUUUUUAGCCAUGCCAAAUUUAUAGUGACCUAACAAGAAUGGCCAUACUUCCUUUCGAAUCUCAUGCUGUACCCCGCCGUAGUAAACUCUUCUAAGUAAUUCCAGUUCCUUGUAAUUCUACAGUAGUCAGGAGAAAGAGGUACUGAAGGUAAUUACAUCUUUAUUUUCCUUAGGCAUGCUCGUAUACACUUAAUACCAAGUAUAAAGACAGUGAAAUGCACGCACGGCACUAAAUAAAUUUUGCAACUUGAUCCAGGCCUUUAGGGCCUUAGCUCAAAUCCAGUCUAAUAUAGGCUGUCAUGCCUCCCAUUAAAAUAAUCUAACUUUUAAUAGACUAGAGUCAUCAUGAGAUCAGUUGCUUUGAUGUUAAUUGAUAUCUUUGCUAUCAUUAGAGAAGCAAAGGACAAAAGAGAUUGUAAGAAUCGACUCACUCACUAGAAAGAGAAGUGAUCCUGUGAAGACUAGAAAAUGCCUUUAAUGCUUCCUGGGGUCCAUUCUAAGGGAUACCGUGCUCAACGCAGCAGUGUGUGGGAGCUAGUGUAAUGAAUAAAUGUUACUUACCUUCUUGUCCUUCUGAUACUUGCUCCAGACCUCUUUAGUCAGGCCGCCUGCAGCACUGGAUGGUUUGUCAGGUGGGAUAAUAGUGUGGUUCACGAGGGCAGACAGAUGCGUUCGCACUGUUGACAAAUGGCGGCAGUAGGCAAGCCCUGUGGUUGGGGCAGGAGAUAAACUUUUAUAAAUGAGCAAUCUACCUAAUAUCAGCAGCCCCUUUUUGAAGAUGAAGCUGUGUGACAUUUUAAACCUGCCACUAAUAACCCUAUAUGAACUAAACUUGCAUUGUACUGUAUCAGAAUGAAGAAUUGCAACAGAGCCAAAGAUUAACUAAAUCUUACACAGACUAGUAAAAUCCGAGUAUUACACUGCAAAGUAAAACUACAUUCUGUCUUCACUAAGCAUCAGUUCACCCAUUGCUAUAUGCAAAACCCACAAAUAAUGGAAUUAUGAAGCUAUGACACUUGAGUCACGUCCACCCUACUGCCCUGAGGUGAUCUGACUCACAACCAUAAAUUUGGGUUUGGACUGCUUUCUAAAACAAACAUCACAUGUUUUUUAGAUAAGCAUAUGGAUACCACAAGGGCUGGAUAUAAGAAGCUUCACUUACAUCCAUAAAAGGCUCUGGAAACUAUUUGCCUCUUCAUGCUUUCACACAACAUCUUUAAUGGAGUUCUGUGGAGACACAUUAACAGGAACGUGAUAGGUCAUGAGGACAGAGAUCAUAAUGAAUUUUAUGCUGAUCCCUAUGACCUAACACAUAGCAAUUCUUUUUCUGCACCAAGAUUUAUUUAGCUAAAGGACAACAAUAAUGACAAAUCACAUUUUUUAAAGCAUUUUCCCCACCAGCAUUUUGGCCCAAAACAGAUUCACCUGGCACAUUUAGCUACAACUGCUGCAGAUGCAUUGUAAAUGUCCUUGUCAAAUUAGAUGAAUUGUUGCCCUUCAUUGUAAUUACUAAUUACUUGUUGAAGAAAAUGCUUCCAGAGCUGAUUUAUAUUAAACUGGACAAAAGAAUUA